GUGCUUAGCAGAGGUUUGCUGGGUGUAGAGAAGUUUUCCUUGGUUUUCUUCGUCUUUUUCCAAUUGACGUAAUUUUCCCCUCCCUCAACCCCCAUCGAACUGCGUUUUUCCUCUGCCAUCGCGGCAGGGAGAAGAGCGCCAGAAGCUGCGGCGCGGCUGCGCGUCCAGCCAGUCGUUGUUGUUUCCGCGGUCUCCGGUGCCCUCUCGUGGCCAAGAGGUGGAAUUGCAGCCGUGUUUGUUUGGCUCCGCAGGCACCAGGGCGCAUGCGCACAGGCAUGCGGCGGUGGUGUUCCUAGCUCUGCGCAGCAAAUCCGCCGAGCUUUGUUAUGGUUAGUCCUCGAGGCAACAGAGCGCAUGCGCCAGGACACUCAUCGCUAGCAUUCAAAUCUACAAAGCCUCGAGGUGCAGGCGAGCAGUCGAUUCCUGGAGCCUGCCUCGGGAACAGACUAUUGUGGCUUCCAGCGGCCCCUGCGCCCCUCGUACGCGUAAUGAGGAGUCGAAAACAACGCACGCGUAGGUCUGCAGCGACUGCACCAGUUGCUCGAGCUCUUCCCACUGCAGGAGCUCAGAACUGACAAGAACCCUGACCAAAGCAGCGACUUCAGCAAUCCCGCGUCGUACCGCAGCAGAAAUGGGGCACUGCCGUACGUCAGCGAUCUCUGACUCAAGCACAGGGGCUGCACAAAGGACACACGCUGCAGCCUCCCUGUUUCUGUGGGGUUUGGGAUUGAUGUUUGAGCCAAAAGGCCUCAUGCUGCCAUACAGGCAGGUGCUGGGUUCACCCACUGAGGACGCCAAAUCCUAAAACAAUGUCACAGCGGUCUUUAAUUGCUGUGCGAGGAGAUGACGUGCAUUUCUCCCUGGGGAUCUGUAAGCUGACCCCACAGUGUGGCAGACAGCACCAAAAAGGGAUGCCAUCCUGUACUUUCCUACCCUAGUAACUCCUGGUUCUGCUGGUACACCUCUUGUACAUGGAGCUGGCUCUCCAUCUGGCUGAGACAUCAUCUUUAACACUUCAAAACAAGCCUAAGGAGAAAAGAUUUUGGUGAUGUGACAUGAAAAUAGACAGCACAAAUAUAGACCAGGAUGACAGAAGAUGUACGCGCUGGGUGUUGAAUACCAUUUGGAAACCAAACCCCAGUUACUUGACAGUCCAGGAAAUUUUUCACAGCUGAGCCAUUGUGUUUUCUUCAGAAGUUAGAAAUAAGAUUGGCAGAGUCAUGUCCGUAUUCACCCACGCAGCAAAGUACUGGAAGAACUGCAUUAUUUCAUCCCACUCUUCAUGCAUGUUCAAAAUAGUUGAUGGGUGAAGGAAUGCUGGCUGGUUUUACGCUAAGAAAAAAGCCUCCACAAGUUCACAUUCAGUACAAUGGAAGAACAGAACCUGCCUGUACAAAUCUAUCCUACGCUGACCUAAGCAGAAGCAUUAGAGGUCAUAUAAAUGUUCCUUGUCUUAGUUACUGAAUCUGGUUUCUGUAAUCUGAAGGUAAGGCUGCUUACACACUAUUUUCAGUUGUUUUUCAGGACAAUGGAUUUAAUGACAUAAAAAUGAAUUAACUGACUCUCCUCUCCUGACACUCUAUUAAUUGGAGAUACUUGAAGUUGAACUGGAAAAGCAGUACAUACAAGAUUUAUUGUUCCCGAUGGAGUCUUAGUCCUGCUGCCUUUUAUAUCCAUUCUGAUAUCACUGAAUCAACCUGAAGUCCUAUGGAUAAAAGAAGGAAUUAUUUUAGAUUUUCCCGAGGCUCAGCCUUCAUCACAAUAUAAGAUAUCCAGUUGUAUCACCACCAUCCCUGCAACUCUCUUCCUACUCUCAAGUUUACUGGAUUUCUUGUUAUUUAUUGAUUUCCAACUUCCAAGGUCUGUGUAAGAUACCUUUCUGGUUAAGCUCCUGUACUGAUCUCUCUCUUUUUUUAUUAUUGUUGUUAUUUUUUAAUUUUUUCUUCUGUAAAUUAAUGCUAGUUAGUGAUUGCUACUUGGGUCACUAUCAUCUUCUACUCUCUCAUCCCAAGUGUAUUACAAGAAUGAGAAACUAUUUAUGGUUGAACUGUACUAACUCUGUCUUCCUUUACUGCACUUACCUGAAGUGCUUUAAAACGACUCAAUGAAGGACAGGGAAGUAUUUUCAAAUUAUAGCUGUGAGUGAUGACCAGAGAAUAAGAAACCUCCGACCUGAAAUUAGAGGAGCUGUUGACACUGGCUACAAUUCUGAAUAGUAGUUCAAAGCCAAAGAAGAAACAAUAAUAUUAUGUCAUUCACCGGGGAAAAAAAAAAAAAAAAUCCACUGUUAGAUUUUUAGCAAAUAAACAAGUAUAUAUGAUUACAGAGAGGACCGAAAAGGAUUUUUGGAACUGUGUCUAAGUUUGAAUAAAAUGCUUUUAUGUGUUUACAGAAUUAUUCUAAAGGAUGAUUGUUGAUCUGCUGAAGCCUUCUUGAUUCUACAUUUUUCUCAGUUUGAAUUAUAAAAACUGUAAUUGUAUAUUCUGAACCUAGAAGAGAAAAUCUAGAAGGCUAUUCUGAUUUUUUCUAACCAUCUGUUGAAAAAUGUCAUGAGCGCUUGUUUAUCUGCACUUCUGUAAGUUCUCAACAUUGAUUGUAUUUUAUUUUCUGUAUCUAAUUACUCUUCAGAAUGAUAUGUUUAUGCUACUGGAAAACUUCUAUUUUAGAGUGGAAUUAUGCAUACAGUAUUCAUAUGGAUCUGAUCAGAACUGAAUAAUGCAGAUAUUUUUAUAAGUACAUCUUUUGAAAGGAAAAAAGUGUCAUAAUAUAUUUAAAAACCCACCACCUUUCAGGAAAUAACGAUAGCAUCUUUUGUGAGCUGGAAGUUCAAUAUGAAUAUUCAUUAAAAAUAAUGAUGAUAUUCUGACUGUCUUGUGGGAAUAUUACUGUAGCAUCAGAAAUUCCUCCUGAAUUCUUCAACUAAGUUUAUGCUGCCAUAUUUAUUCUAAAAUUCUGGAGAUCUUGUGAAGGCAAGAUGCAAGUGAGAUUUCCAGUAUAUGCAGAACUGCAUCCCAGCCUUAUAUAUGCUAAGUGCAACAUUUGCUAUGUUGAAUUAUUAUUGUUAUUAUUACAAUAAUUACUGUUGUUGUUGUUGUCAUUGUUACUGUUACUAUUGUUAGGUUGCUUGUUUUAGCAAAGACGUAAAGUGAAACAGGUAAGUAAGACAGGGAUCUCCUGGCAGGAGUCCAGUGGAGGGCCAUAAAGGUGAUAAAAGGCUUGAAGCACCUUCCUUAUGAGGAAAGGUUGAGCGACCUAGGGCUGUUCAGCCUUGAGAAAAAAAGACUCAGAGGGGAUCUGGUCAGUGCCUGUAAAUACCUAAGGUGAGGAAAGCAAACAGACAAGGCUAGGCUCUUUUCAACAGUGCUUGGUGAUAAAACAAGGGGAGAUGGCCACAAACUGAAGCACAGGAUGUUCCACACACAUGUGCAUAAGAACUUCUUGACAGUAAGGGCACUGGAACAGGCUGCCCAGAGAGUCUGUGGAGUCUCCUUCUCUGGAAAUGUCAAGGCACACCUUGAUGCCUAGCUGUGCAACCUGGUCAAGGGAGCAUGCUUUGGUAGGGAAGUUGGACUAGAUGAUCUCUAGAGGUUCCUUCCAGACCCUGCAGUUCUGUGACUCUGUGAAAUACGUGAGUUGGAGUUACGAUAACAGAAAGAGUUAGUGUUAGUUUUCUUAAGAUCAAAUACAGAAAUAAAGGGAGGUUGAGAACAUCAUUUUCCUAAUAUUAAUUUUCUCUGUUUAAAGGAAUGGUAAAUGUAUAUGCAAAUGUUCUUCUACUGAGUCUUUGCUGAACAUUUGAGCUACUUAAUACAAGUGCUGAAUUCGGUUUCUUCUUCACAGAAACUUUCCAUAUACUGACAUAUAAGAAUGCAUUACUCAGUGUAACAGGUACAGUAGUCGUUGUAUAACUCCUCACUUGAAUUAGUAGAGCUUGCUCAGAUUCAAUGAUUACUUGAUAUUUAGCUAGCUUAAACAGAACUGAGAUCACAGGAAAAAAGAGAGCAUGAAGAAGUCAUCAGAAUUAUCUAGCUGUGAUUAGAAAAGAUACAUUGUUUACGUGCACCUAGAGAAAUGUGAAAAAGCUGAAGCACAGAUCUUCUACAUAACCUACUUUGCAGUAUUUACAAUAACAUGGACUAAAACAUUAGAUUGGUACUCAUGUAAAGUUUAAUGUUUAUCGUAGUGUCUCUGCCCUUGACAGUAGCUAAGUAAGCCCAUACAUCUGUUAUAUUUCUUUCAUGCUGCCCAUGUGUCCGGCCUCUGUGCCCAUCAGCAGUAAUGGUCCUCAGUGCAAUUACUGUAAUUCAAAGGCAUUAACCAGAAAUUAAAUGCAUAUUAGUUAUAUAGUAUGAAAUUAUGUUAGCUGCAAACCACAAUCUCAAUAGCAUUUUACAAGUACCAGUGUGACAGAUAAGAAACAUAAGAAUAGGUCUUUAGAAAUAUUGUGCCUGAAAACAAUUCUGAAAGCACAUUGAUAUUUUGAAAGCAUUGUUGGCUAUCUGUCAUCAUGGUUUAUCAGUAACUGACUGUCCUCAAAUUCCAGACAGCUUGUCUAAUCAUCUCCUGGUUUACUUACAGAUUUCAAAUGCUCACCAUUCCUGAUACAAGCCAUUGGCUUUCUUGGCUACCUGGGCACACUGCUGGCUCAUAUUCAGCCAACUGUCCAUCAGCACACCAACGUCCCUUUCUGUCAGGCGGCUUUCCAGCCACUCCUCCCUAAGCCUGGGGUUGCCUGGAGUUGUUGUGACCAAAAUGCUGGACCUGACACUUGAUUCUAUUGAAACUCAUGCAGUUUACCUUGGCUCAUCAAUUCAGGUCCCUCUGUAAUGCCUUUCCUCCCUCUGGCAGAACAACACUCCCUACCAACUUGGUGUCAUCGGCAAACUUACUGAGGGUAAGUCAUCUCAUCCCCUCAUCAAGAUCAUUAAUCAGGAUGUUAAAUAGAAGCGGCCCUAGAACAGAGCCCUGGGGGACAAUGCUCGUGACUGGCCUCCAACUGGAUUUAACUCCACUGACCACAACUCUUUGAGUUCGGCCAUCCAGCCAAUGUUUCAUCCAGCAGAGCGAAUGCCCAUCCAAACCAUGGGCAGCCAGCUUCUCCACGAGGAUGCUGUGGGGGGCAGUGUUAAAGACUUGACUGAAGACCACAUCAACAGCCUUACCUUCAUCCACUAAGCAGGUCACCCUGUCAUAGAACGAAAUCAGGUUUGUCAGACAGGAUCUUCCAUUCAUAGACCCAUAGUGUCUGGGCCUGAUCCCGUGGCUGACCUUUAAUUGAUCCAUGGUGGCUCCCAAGAUUAUCCGUUUCACGACCUUCCAUGGCACCAAGGGGAGACUGAUAGGUCUGUAGCUACCAGAAUCAUCUUCCUGGCCCUUUCUGAAGAUGGUCUUCAUAUCUGCCAGUCUCCAGUCCACCCAGACAUUCCCAGUUAGCCAGGACUGUUGAAGGAUGAUGGAGUGUGGUUUGGCAACCACAUCCACCAGCUCCCUUAGCACUCCAGGAUGCAAUCCAUCUGGCACCAAGGAGUUGUGAGUGUCCACGUUUCAGAGCAGUGUCCAGCUUUUUCCUUUUCCUUUUCCUUUUCCUUGGCCUUGGCCUUUGCCUUUGCCUUGAACUAGGUCAUUAUUGGAAAGAUUGUUGGUUUUUUGUUUUUUUUUUUUAAGGAUGAUAUUUUAUUUCUAUCCAGUGUGUAAGCAAUCAGAAAUGUUUUACUAGUGAAAAGAUAGAGCACAUUAUUUGGAAUUGAUAGCUAAUUUAUUUUAUUAUGAUUACCUGGAAUAACUUUUGCCACAAGAUUUUGAUUUACAUUUCUCUAAUAGUACUGAUUUAAAGGUGACUUUAACAUUCCUCAGCAGAAGCUCUUUGUGAACAAUAAAUCUAUUUUCUCUAACAGCAGCAUAGUGUCUUAGUCUCCUACAUGAAUGUGGUUGUAAAACAAAGUCCUAUAGAAAUAUAUCUACGCAAAGAUCAAUCCCAGUGUAGUAUUUUUACAGCACUACUAGUAACUGUAUAAUUCAUAUGGUAUGGUCUGCUCCAGUCUUGGAUAAAAGAGCUAAAUAUUUUAAUUUAAGUGAAUGAUUUUGUUAGGUAUCACAAGUCCAAUCCCUGCUGGUGUUACGCUGCCAUUGUGUCUAAAAUGUACUGUAAGCUAUUUCUGUUUGUGUGUAUGAACUGAGCAAAGAACAGCAGUAAUGUGCUCGGUGUCAGUGCAUAUACCAUGACUGAGAGCAAAAUAAAUCAUUUUCUUCAGAUGGUAGAGGCCAAAGUAAGAAGUUAAGUUUUAUUUUGUUCAGGAUUUGAAUGACGGUACUAUAAAUCAUGGUAUCAAAAUAAUAGGCUGAUCCUAAAUUCUUGUACUGGAUACAAAGAUUGCCUUCAUAGCCCAGAAGUAGUGCAGAUUGUAGAAUUUUUAACAACUAUUGUUAUUGUUAUUAUAAAUAGUCAUGUGUUAUUACCUAAACCCUGAUGGUGGAGCAACAAUUUGACUAAUUUUUUUUUCUUACAAUAAUGUCAUUUAGAUACGGUUAAAAUAGUGUUCUGUUUUAAGUUAUUGCAGACUGUAACAUUUCAGUGCACUGAAUAUGAGUUUAACAAUACCUAACCAAUGAAGUUAAUUUGACUGAAAAAUGUACUACUUGUCUUUUAAAGAAUAAGAAUGAAAGAUUGUAAGGGAUUUGAAGAUAAUGUGGAAUUGCUUGGGAAGUAAUUUUUGGGCUUCUACCUGUAUUUUGCUACCAGUUAAAAUCUCCACAAACAUUCAGUUAUUUUUUUCCUGCAUCUGAAAAUUUAACAGUGUGAAUUCAUUUUUAUAUGGAAUUAUAUCUAAUAGAAUGUCUAUAAACCCUGAACACGCAUUGGGUUUUAUUUCAGUGAAAUACUUAUUUUAUUGUCAAUAGUCUUCUCAGGAAUCAGUUGUCAGUGUGCAUGUCUGUUACAUGGAAGGAAACAAUUUAUACGUCUUCAGCACAUAACAUCCUUUAUAAACAUUCCAUGUGAUUUUUUGAUAGCAAGCAAAAGCAUGACAGGUGAAUGCAGAAGAGAUAUUUGGGGAAUUUUCUUGAUAAUAUUUGCUCACUAUAUGUAAUAAGACUCCAAAGUCACUGUAAAGAACUGGAAUGUUACAGAUAUUUCAGAAAGUUACAGCAGUGCACAGUGCAUGCUAGAUAUAACAUAUUGACAUAACUAAAUAUAAUACAAAGUAAUCUAUUCUUUGCAUUGAUCUGCUCCUUGAGCUUAACACUGUUGAACAAUCAGUAUUCAGACCAGCAGUUUGUGAUAGUUUAGAUGGUAGCUGUAGGUUAAUGCAUGGCCUCUGAGAUUCAAAUGGCUGGCAUACUUCAGGCAAAUAAAAUAAUAAAAUACAUGAAAAAGAAUAUCCACUAAGAUGCUAAUAAGCCCAGUUGCCGUGAGAAUAUGUUGUCAUUACAAGGCUUCUAUAUAUUUUUUUCCAAAUUUUAAGAAUUAAUGAGAACAGUACAUGUGAAAAGGCUUAGGAUCUAUCAGUUUCUCCAAACGACAAUAUAAGCACAUUUUCUAUUGUUCAGCAUGAUUUUUUUCCCAAUUAUAAACUAAGCAAGCUAGGAGUUAGAAAAAAGUGUGCAUGUUAAAGCUUAAUAUUAAAAUAAUGAAGGUUAUGAAAAACCUUCACUAGUCAAAAAAAUGGAAGGUGUGGUAAGAAAGAGUGCAGGAGUGGAUGAUUAAAAUAGAAAAAUAUUGAAACCUUAGUCAAAUCUUUGAUUUCAACGGGGGUUUCACUUGAACAGAAAAUAAAUCAAAAUAAUCAGGGUUUCACAAUUUCAAUUCUUACUAUUAUUAAUGUCAAAAAUAUGGAUAGCAACUUCAGUCUAUCCAAUGUUUUAAUUCGCCAAGUACUAAUGAAGCGGCCUACUAUAAAGUGAGUAAAAUCAGACUGAAAUAACAGGAUUUGGAAUGGAGACAGAACUUACGAUGUUUAUUUCCUACAGUUCUUCAAGUAAUAAAAAUACCUAGGCAGGUUUCCUCCAUCUCGAAUGCAGGAUUGCAUAUAUGCAAUACUGUGAAACAAGAACAUUCUGCCUCUAAAACAAUUUUGCCUACUUCCAAAUUAGCUGUGUGCACGAGAAAGCAGUAUGAAAAUCACCUUUACCUUGCUGUACAAACACUCACUUAUCUUGAACUCAAAACGUUCUUUUGAAGACUUGCUGAAAGGAAGAAUAUGAAUUAUGUUUCGGCUGCACUUUCAAGAACAUAUUGCUGAACAAUAUACUGAAUUUGUUAUGCAAAACGUUCUUAGAUUUAGCAGCUUUCUAGAUAGACUAUUAUACGUGUUAAGAAAAGAAAAAGAAAAAAAAAAAGGAGAAAAAAAAAAGGAGAAAAAGGAGAGCUUUUCUUUCAGUGAAAAAGAGUGUAGUCAGCAUUCUAAUAACAGCAAUGUAGUGAUGAGGAUGUAAGAAUAGAAUAAAGUGAAAUGUUGCACAACAAAUUACAAACUACACUGAAAAGAUGACCAUGCCACAGGAAGUAAAUAAAUAAACAAACAAAAUUAAAAAAAAAAAGACACCUGGAAAAUAAACACAUAACUGCAAUCAAAUUUAAGCAGGUCUGGAAACACCAAAUGACCAAUGCAAAGAAGGUGAGCUGCAAAUUCAAAUCUAACAUCAGUAAAUCUUGCUCACAGAACUGCUUUCACAGUAUCACAGAAGUACACAAACACCAAAGUUGGAAAAGACCUACAAGAUCAUCCAAUCCAACCAUCCACCUGUCCCCAGUAAUUCUCACUAAACCAUGUCCCUCAACACAAAAUCCUUGAAACAUUCCUUGAAUGACUCCAGGGUCAGUGACACCAUCACCUUUCUGAACAGCCCAUUCCAGUGCCUGACCACUCUUACAGAGAAGCAGUAUUUCCUAACAUCCAGCCUGAAUCUCUGGUGCAGCUUUCAGCCAUUCCCUCUAGUUCUAUCACCAUCUACACGAAAGAAAAAGCUGACCCCCCGCUAACUGCAACCUGCCUUCAGGUAGCUAUAGAGAGCAAUGAGGUCUCUCCUGAGCCUCCUCUUCUCCAGACUGAACAAUCCCAGCUCCUUCAGCCACUCCUCAUCAGGCCUGUGCUCCAGACCCCUCACCUUCUUUGUUGCCCUUCUUUGAACCCGCUCCAGAGCUUCAAUGUUUUUUCCCUGGUCUUUUUCCUCUACACAGUCUUCCAGCCACUCCACCCCAAGCCUGGGGCUUUUGUGGCCGAAGUGCAGGAAUCACAGAAUCACAGAAUCACCGAGGUUGGAAAAGACCUUCAAGAUCAUCCAAUCAAACCGUCCACCUAUCACCAAUAGUACUCACUAAGCCAUGUUCCUCAACACAAAAUGCAACCGUUCCUUGAACACCUCCAGGGUCGGUGAUUCUGGCAUUUGGUCUUGUUGAACCUCAUCCAAUUGGGUUCAGCCCAGCUCUCCAGCCUGUCCAGAUCCCUCUGGAGGGCCUCGCUACCCCCAGGCAGAUAGACCCUUCCAGCCAACUUGGUGCCAUUCACAAACUUCCUGAUUGUGCACUCAAUGCCCUCAUCCAGGUCAUCAGUAAGGAUAUAGAAGAGGACAGGCCCCAGCACCGACCCCUGGGGAAUAGCACUCGUGACAGGUCGCCAGCUGCAUUUAGCUCCAUUCACCACCACUCCUUUUAGUCGUGUGUUCUCCACAGGCACAUCCCAUUGUGUGGUACAUUUCCUCCCAUAAUCCGGAAGAAACAAAGAACAAUCUCCUUUCUUUACAAGGAGAGUGGUUAGGCCCUGGAACGGGCUGCCCAGGGAGUUUGUGGAUGCCCCGUCCUUGGAUGUGUUCAAGGCCAGGUUGGACGGGGUCCUGGGCAACCUGAUUUAAAUGUGUAUGUUUGGUGGCCCUGCUAGGCAGGGGAGUUGGAACUACAUGAUCCUUGAGGUCCCUUCCAACCCGGGUGAUUCUGUGAUCUGUGAUUCUGUGAACAAUGACUGUGUACCAGAAUGUACUCAUUCAGGGAACUGUGAAAGAACAGAAAUACCUACUUGUAAGGUAUUAAUAUAUUUCAUGAAGCAAAACCUUUUAUUUAGCCUGUUAAUUCAGAGUCUCAAAGGAGACCUAUAGAAAGCCUUGCAAGAAUCUAAACUGUGAAACAUACAAUUGUGUAUGGAGUAAAAUAUUCCCUCAUUCAUGCAGUUUAGCAAAACCCAAAUCUGUCCUACUCGUGCAAAUUGGAUGAACCAGAGAAUUACAAAGCCCAGUUUUCUAGCAGUGCUUGGUGAAGUCUCAUACUUUAAGUGCUGGAAUAUUUUGGAGUAUUCCUUAGUAAUCAGUCCUUUUUUUCAACAACUGCAGCAAUGCACAGCAUAACUAUGAAGUGAUAAAAUGAUUGAGUUCAAACAAGUCAGCGAAGGGUUGUCUGAUCUGAACAUCUGCAAGGCCAUUGAUGUGGUCUCAUUUCACAACCUUAUCUCUACACUGGAGAGUUAUGGAUUGAAAGGGUGAACUAUUUGGUGGAUAAGGAAUUGAUUCAAAAGUCACAGCCUGCGGGUUGUGGUCAACAGGUGGAGGCUGGUGAGGAGUAGCGACUUCCAGUAGUAUCUCUUGGGAGCAGUGCUCUUUAACAACUUUAUUAAUAGACAUAGAUGAUGGGAUCAAGUGCACCCUCAGCAAGUUUGCAGACAACAUCAAGUUAAGUGGUACAGGUGAUAUAACAGAAGAAAGGGAUGCCACCUGGAAGGAUUUGAACAGGCUUGAAAAUUUUUCCCACAAGAAAGUAAUGAUGUUCAACAAGAUCAAGUGCAAAGUGUUGCACUUGGUCUGUUGCAGUCCCAGACGCACAUACAGACUGGGAGAACUCCUUGAGAGCAACCCUACUGAGAAGGACUUAGGGGUCCCGGUAGAUGGAAAAGAUAACCUGAGCCAGCAAUUCGUACUUAAGGCCUGCAAGGCCAACAGUAUCCUGGGCUGCAUCAAAGGAGAGAUGGCCAGCAGUGCAAGGAAGGUGAUUGUUCCCCCCAUUUUGUCCUUGUGAGGUCCCAUCUGGAGUAUUGUCUUCAGGCCUGAGACCCUCCACAAAGAGAAGGUGUAGAGCUUUUGAAAUGGGUCCAGAGGAGGGCCAGGAAGGCAAUCAGAGGCAUGGAGCACCACUCCUACAAAGAAAGGCUGAGGGAGCUUGGCUUGUUCAACCCGGAGAAGAAAAGGCUGAGGGCAGACUUCGUUGUAGCCUUCCAAUACUUACAUGGAGCUUAUUAGCAGGAGUGGAAGUCAAAUUUCACAUGGAUGAACAGCGAUAGAGCAAUGGGGAACCGUUUUAAACUAAAAGAAGGGAGGUUCAUAUUAGAUGUCAGGGAACUAUUUCAUGGAGAGAGUGGUGAGCUGCUGGAACAGGCUGCCCAGAAAAGUUGUAAUUCAUAUCACUUUUUUGGUUGUACAUUGUAUGGGAACUGCUGAAUGACGGCCUGAACCUCUGGUUGAUCAUCUGAGGUGAGCAAUGAGUCAGCCACGGGAACACAGGUGAAGGCAAUUCAGCUGUGCUGCCGGAAGGGAUGGAGCCUGGCUCCACCUCUCCUAGGCCCAUUUAAGAGCUGACUGCCAGUGGGGAAAGAUCUCUUCUGGAGAUCCGUUCCACUGCAGU